rnacentral:rRNA from 1 species
GACGAACGCUGGCGGCGUGCCUAACACAUGCAAGUCGAACGGAGAAUUCGUAGCAAUAUGGAUUCUUAGUGGCGGACGGGUGAGUAACGCGUGAGCAAUCUGCCCUUCGGAGGGGGACAACAGCUGGAAACGGCUGCUAAUACCGCAUAACGUAUAUUUGUGGCAUCACGAGUAUACCAAAGAUUCAUCGCCGAAGGAUGAGCUCGCGUCUGAUUAGCUAGUUGGUAGGGUAAUGGCCUACCAAGGCUUCGAUCAGUAGCCGGACUGAGAGGUUGAACGGCCACAUUGGGACUGAGAUACGGCCCAGACUCCUACGGGAGGCUG